GUCUUCCACAAUGGACGAAAGUCUGCUGGAGCAACUCCGCGUGAGCGAAGAAGGUUUUCGGAUCGUAAAGCUCUGUUGUGAGGGAAGAAAAAGUACGGGCGUAACUGCCCGUACCUUUACGGUACUCCAUCAGAACGCCACGGCUAACUACGUGCCAGCAGCCGCGGUAAUACGUAGGUGGCAAGCGUUGUCCGGAAUUAUGUGGCGUAAAUCGCGCGCAGGAGGUCCCUUAAGUCUGAUGUGAAAGCCCACGGCUCAACCGUGGAGGGUCAUUGGAAACUGGGGGACUUGAGUACAGAAGAGGAAAGCGGAAUUCCACGUGUAGCGGUGAAAUGCGUAGAGAUGUGGAGGAACACCAGUGGCGAAGGCGGCUUUCUGGUCUGUAACUGACGCUGAGGCGCGAAAGCGUGGGGAGCAAACA
rnacentral:rRNA from 1 species